AUUGAUAAAAUAUAUAUCAAUUCAAGAGACCUGUUAGAUGUAAGAGGGUUCAAUUUACAUAUGCCUUGUAAAACUUAUCAAGACUUAUCAAAAGGCCUUCUGAAAUGCAUGCAGGCUGGCUUUUUGAAAAGUUUCAUUCUUAAAGGGGAUCCCUAGCCUUCUUAAAAUGUCUCUUCCUGACUCACAUAGUCCCAAACAUUUUGCUUUCCAACCAUGACUGUAGUGUCAUUCAGGCAUGCAUCAAAUAUUAUCUUUAGCAAAAGGCGAAGACAUUGUUUGUGCAUGUACAUUUAUUUCUGAACUUUUUAAUGAAUGUUAAUGCAAAAUAUAAGGUAGAGAUACUCCAUCUGGGUGCAUGCAGUAGAUUCACAUCUGUAGGAGUACAUUCACCUUUUCUCAGACCGCUCCAAUGUAUUUGCAGUAGAUGUGUCUGUGGUUAAAGCAAUAAAAAGGAGAUUACGCCAUCUAGUGGUACACACUCUAGCUCAAGUACAGUCCAGAUCUACUUUCUACUUUUUUUUUGUUCUUUUUUUUUUUUUUUUUUUUUUUAAGUUUGUUUAUUUGUUAACUGCAUAUUUAACUCAAUGUGAUGUUAGUAAGGAAGGUUCGUCAACUUUACUAUGACACGUUACGUUUCACAAAAUAAUUACGUCAAUUAAUUUCCUUGUCGCUAGGAGGCGUCAAAUAUGAACAACAGUGCUACUAGCCCAGGUUUAUUUACCUCUAGGUUUACAUUCAAAAGUAAAGUCUUAAAAUACCACAAAACAAAUAUGGAAAUGCCCUAUUUGUUUUUUGUUUUUUUGCAAUUUUAAUGGUAUUAUUAUUUUUUUAAACAUGUUUUUUAAUUCGUUUUCGGAAGAUCCAGUUUUAUAUUUGAAGGUUGAACCCCCUUAUGUGCCACAUGAAAAGUUGCUCAUGGAGGACAGGGAAUAUACCUAGCUUCAACUUUUUAGGAGGCCUUUCGACCAGAACAUGGAGGCUGAAGCUCAAGCUCAUCCUUGAGAGCAUCUUGACAUAUGCCAGUGGUAACUUCUUUUUCAAAUUUAUUAUCAAAUUUUUUUUUUUUUGCAAUACCCUCAUUAACAUUACCGUUAACUAUUAUGUUUUCAGAAAAGCUGCAUUACAUACAGAAUCCUUAGCUAAUGUCUUUUUGGCUUCUUGUCAAGAUAAACCAACAAUCUCUGUUUUGCUAGUAGAAAAUGUGCAUUGAUGAAUUGUGCACAAUAGGACCAGAGAAAUAGGGCUGAUUUGGAUUUCAUAUUGACUUAUCAAGAUCUGCCGUGCUGGAUAACAGCACAUUAGCCAAUGAGAAAAUAUAACAGAAAAAAGUACCAUAACAUUGACCUCUAUAAAAUGAAUUAAGUUGUAUAAUUAGUUACUAUUUUUAAAUGACAACAAAAGGAUUCUAUAAUUUUUACGGAUUCCAAAUUAUGCCUUCAAGCAAUGGGCACUCUAAAAACUGAUCAUCCUUUAGUAUACUGCAUUUUAACUAAAGUGGAUCAUCUACAGAAUCAGUUUGUCAGUAUUAUCUUCUGCUGGGUUCGGAAAUGAGCAAGCUGAUGCAGCUGCAAAGGAGACUUUUAAUCAGGAAGUAAAUUAACGUCAAAUUCCUCCAUCAGAUAUCAGACCUAUUAUUAAUCAUUAUAUAAUCAAUAAAUGGCAAGAAGAGUGGGAUACA
ensembl:lncRNA